AGAGAUAUGUCUGAGUGGUUUAAAGAGUAUGCUUGGAAUGCAUAAAAAGUAAAAACUUUCAUGGGUUCGAAUCCCAUUAUCUCUU
rnacentral:tRNA from 1 species